rnacentral:lncRNA from 1 species
ACAACUAAGAAGCCAAGAGCUAUUUAUAGAGUUUACCUUGAUCAUUGCAUAUAUUUCCUGGUCGGUCGUGGAGAUCUGAUUCAACUCAAAGAGAGUAUCAUCCUACAAGAUAGCCAAUCCUUCCGAAUUUCUUAUAGCUGGCAGGUCUAUCAUUCUUGUAAAAAGGAAAUCAUCAAGCAAAGCUUGAUGAUCUUGUAUUUUGGUCUCCAGAAGAGCCAAUAAAGGAGGGUUAUGCCAGUCCACCAACGAACUAAAAUCCUUUUGAAUUCAGUGUUAUUACCUCCUCUACAAUUCCAUAUGACAAUGUUCAUUGAUCUGUUCAGACGAGGGGGGUUGAUCAAAGGAGUGUCCACUGGGAGAGCUAUCGUGAAUUCAAGAGCCAGAG